GCGGAUUCGGAGUGGGCGUUGGUUUCUUGUUGUCGCCGUUCCGUUUUCACUCCUCCCGCGUGGGGAAUAGCUGGCUCUCAAAGCUGCAGUGUCGGCCCAGCGCAGUGGCGCCCGCCUGUGCUCCCAGCUCCUUGGGAGGCCAGGCAGUAGGAGCGAGGUUCCUGACCAGGCCUGUCUCCAAAAGGAGGGUGGGAGAGACCUGCGUGAUCCCCAGUAGCAGGAAGGGGGGAAAAGCGUCUUAAAUGUUGUUUUUGUCUGUACUUAACAUUCAUCUGAUGAAGGAAGUAAAAGAAGAAAGCACACAGAAAAGGAAAAUAGUAAGAAAAAAAAGAGAAGGAGAUGAUGAUGAUUGAGGGAAAAGUGGGUUUGAACCUGAUGUCUUUUGAGGCGGGCGUGACAGCAGUGACAGCACAACUCCUCAGUACCAUAUUUCUCCUUUUCUGAAAGUUUUCACAAACUUCUUAUGCUGACUUUUAAUAUACAGAAAACUGCAUCUGCUGUUGUCUAAUAGGAGGACUUGAGAAUUCUUAACGAAAACUGCAGGGCAAGUGCAGGUUAACACUAGUCCUUUUGAAAGCGGAACAUUCUCCACUUCCCUUACUAAGCAGUGUUGGCAUUCUUCCAAACCAUAGAUUGGAGAAAUGAGUGGAUUCAAGGUUCAGUGUCCCAAAAUGCAUGGUAGCUCUACUACUCUAUAUAGUCAUUGCUUAUAAUAACUUAGUACAUAGUGCCUCAAAUCCAAAGGGGGGUUUUAAAAGUCAUUUAUUUUCUCAAAACUAGAGCCUUCUCUGAUAUCCACAUCCCAGUUCCUGCCUAUUUGAAUAUCACCAGGAUGGCUUACCAGCUCCACACCUAGCCUGUCUACAACUACCUUCCUUAGUUGAGCUCAUCUUGACCUUCUAUUGUACUUUCUUGGUUAAUUGUAUUAGCAGUGUCUUCACAACCACUCUCAACCAAUCUCUGGUCCCCACAGUCAGUAUCUAAACUGUGUCAUUUUUAAUUCUGAAAUAUUCCUUCAAAACUCAAUUCCAUUUUCACCCCUCCUGCCCAAGUUCAAAUAUCCAUCAUUUUUGAAUUAGCACAUUUCCAACUGAUCUUCCUACAUCCUUUCUUUGAAAAUCCUUUCACUGCCAUACUUCCUAAAACCCAAAUAUAUCAUUUCAUCCCCCUUGCAUCUGAAUUAGGCUGAGCAUUUUUCAUGAACUGUAUGUCAUUUAUCCACAUUCUCUACCCUGCCCAGCCACCACUACCCAGUACCUGACAGUGUCUGGCCUGUAUUAAGCAUUAUCAAAUAUUUACAUUUAGCAUCAUAAAUAGGGAUAAAUUUCUAAGCUCUGUCCUUUUUCCUCAAAUCCAAGACCCUCACUUACAGUUAAAAAUAUCACUGGAAAAAGCAGCAAAAUAAAAAUGUGGACCCUCAUUGCUAGUAGAAAUGUAAAUUGCUUGGCAUGAGGCUGUGGCUCAGUGGUAGCGCACUUGCCUGGUAUGUGUGAAGCAUUGGGUUUGAUUCUCAGCACCACAUAUAAAUAAAUUAAAGGUCUAUCAACAACUAAAAAAUAUAUUUAAAAAGGAAUGUAAAGUGCGACCUCUAUAAAGAACAAUUUGGUUGUUCCUUAAAGACCUAAGUGUGAAAUUAUUUUUUUUUAUUUUUAUUUUUGGUUGUUAAUGGACCUGUAUUUUAUCUAUUCAUAUGCGGUGCUGAGAAUCAAACCCAGGGCCUCAUACAUGCCAGGCAAGUGCUCUACCACUGAGCUACAAUCCCAGCCCACUAAGUGUGAAAUUAUUAUAAUAGAACAUUGAAGAUCAGACUCUGGAACCAGUCUGGCAGGGUUCAAAUCCC
rnacentral:lncRNA from 1 species